GCAACCAUCGAUGUUUUUUCCGCGACACUAAAGUAAAGGAAACGCAGAAGAUAUUCAAUUGGUGGUGUAGGCAACGUCGGUGGAUGUGUGGCAAUGGAAAACUUCCUAAACCGAACAACUAAGGAAAAUUGCGAGUCUCUGGCUCCUGCUACGAAGAGGAAGCGCGAGACCUCGGACGUGUGGCAGCAUUUCAAGAAAACGGCCGAUAAUAAUAAAGCAGUAUGCAUUUACUGCGGAAAAUGCUUAAGACAGGUGGAAACACUACCAACUUGUGGGACCAUGUACAGAGGAUUCAUCCAAAGAAAGCAACAACAGACAAAGUUUCUGAACCAACGAAGUUGGAUGCGUUUGUGUUGCGAAGUGUCGAGUAUGUUUAUGUUUAUCAAUAAGAACCAAACCAUUUUUUGUUUAACUUAUAG